UCCCACCUCUGGACAGUCAGCCAAUGAAUUUCUCGAAAUGAAUGUUUCAAAAUUAAGAUUAUCAAAAUUCUACGUUUUUAUCGCUUUUGCAACUGAACUCGACAUCGAGUCGACCAAAGAUAAAUUAGUGCACCUAACGCGACAGUGAAACGCGUGGUUAAACUGUGCAGUGCGUAAAAGUCAACAAGAGUCAUAAGCUUUCUGUGCUGUGCCAAUACAUACGUAACGCAGUGAGCGUGUGUGUGCGUUUGUGUGUGCAUAUAUGCAUGUGUGCAUGUGUGGGUGGUCGCCUUGAAAACAUAAUCGUGCCAUCUGCGUAUUAAAAAAGGGAAAAAGAAGAAAGAAAAACAAUUGUGUAUAAUAUAUAUACAGGCGCACACACACAAGCGACGUAACAUAUGUUUAACAGAGUGCAGGCGCAACAACAAAGCACAAGUGCACUGUUAGUUAGCAGCGCUGGCCCUGUUAGAUCAGCAGUUUCUCUCUGUUAACAGUGGAGUGCAGUGUGCCCGUUUCGGACCACCACAAAUAUCUCAGAAAUCCGAUUUCGAACUGUAAAAAUAUUUUUAGGCAGCACGCAAUAAAAUUAGCUGCGAUUGAAACUAAAAACAAGUGUUUCGAGUUCAGUGCAACUAGUGGAACAAAAUUCGCCGUAUAUAAAUCAUGCCACACAACAUGCAAACCAUAUAAAGCAACAACAAAGGGCUGCCUUCAAAACGCAAAACGUAAACAAAAGAGACGAAACGAACACAGAAGGCGCAGCAGCAGACAACAGCUAGAACAAGAGAGUGUGAGAGAGAGGGAGGGGGUGAUAAAGAGAAAGAGAAAGAUAGAGAGAGACAGAGUAAAAGCCCAGAGUAAUCAAUUAGUAAGCCAAGAAAACGGUGAAAAACAGAAAGCAGAAAACAGAAGGAGUAGAUAAAACGCAAUCGAGGAGGAGGAAGCGCCGCGCCACAGAGAUAGGGAGAGAGAGCGAGGCAGCAGCAGCAGCAACAUCAGUAGCGUCAGCGAUGGACUCGGAUAAUGACAAUGAUUUCUGCGACAAUGUCGAUUCGGGCAACGUCUCCUCGGGCGACGACGGCGACGAUGACUUCGGCAUGGAGGUGGACAUGCCCAGUUCGGCUGAGCGCCAGCUGGACACCGAUGACUACCAAUACAAGGUGCUCACCACCGACGAGCUUGUCCAGCAUCAGCGUGAGAUCAUUGCCGAUGUCAAUCUUUUGUUGAAGCUUCCCAUUCCCAUUACGAGGAUACUGCUUAACCAUUUCAAGUGGGACAAGGAGAAGCUGCUCGAAAAGUACUUCGAUGAGCCUCCGGAGGAGUUCUUUAAAUGCGCACACGUCAUAAAUCCCUUCAACACGGCCACCGAAGCGGUCAGACAAAGGACCACACGAAGUCAGUGCGAAGAAUGCGAAAUAUGCUUCUGUCAUCUACUGCCAGAUCGAAUGACCGGCUUGGAGUGCGGUCAUCGAUUCUGCAUGACCUGCUGGCGCGAGUAUCUGACAACGAAGAUUGUGGCGGAGGGUCUUGGCCAGACCAUCUCGUGCGCGGCGCACGGCUGUGAUAUACUGGUGGACGAUGUGACCGUCACCAAGCUGGUGGUGGAUCCGCGAGUGCGGGUUAAAUACCAGCAGCUAAUCACCAACAGCUUUGUGGAAUGCAAUCAGCUGCUGCGCUGGUGUCCGUCCGUCGACUGCACCUAUGCGGUAAAGGUGCCGUACGCGGAGCCGCGACGUGUCCACUGCAAGUGCGGCCAUGUGUUCUGUUUCGCCUGCGGUGAAAACUGGCACGAUCCGGUCAAAUGCCGCUGGCUAAAGAAGUGGAUUAAGAAGUGCGACGACGACUCAGAGACGUCCAACUGGAUCGCGGCCAAUACCAAAGAGUGUCCCAAGUGCAGUGUGACCAUUGAGAAGGACGGCGGCUGCAACCAUAUGGUGUGCAAGAACCAGAACUGCAAGAACGAGUUCUGUUGGGUCUGCCUCGGCUCCUGGGAGCCGCACGGCUCUUCCUGGUACAACUGUAACCGGUACGAUGAGGAUGAGGCCAAGACCGCUCGUGAUGCCCAGGAGAAGUUGCGCUCAUCCCUGGCCAGGUAUCUCCACUACUACAAUCGGUACAUGAACCACAUGCAGUCGAUGAAGUUUGAAAACAAAUUGUAUGCCUGCGUAAAGCAGAAAAUGGAGGAGAUGCAGCAGCACAACAUGUCCUGGAUAGAGGUGCAAUUUCUGAAAAAGGCUGUCGACAUACUUUGCCAGUGCCGUCAGACACUCAUGUACACAUACGUGUUUGCGUAUUAUUUGAAGAAGAACAAUCAGUCGAUGAUAUUCGAGGAUAAUCAAAAGGAUUUGGAAUCGGCAACCGAAACGUUGUCCGAGUAUUUGGAACGUGAAAUUACAUCCGAGAACUUGGCUGAUAUUAAGCAGAAAGUGCAAGAUAAAUACAGGUAUUGUGAAAAGCGUUGCUCUGUUCUGCUAAAACACGUGCAUGAGGGCUACGACACGGAUUGGUGGGACUACACAGAAUGACGCGAGUCAUGGCUGGAUAAUUAAGCUAAGCUAUGCUGAGCGCGGCAGGCAGAGCAGAUCAAAGCAGUGCACGCGGCCAGCAUCCAAUAGGCACCACCUACCCAUUCACUCUUAUCUGUGGAGCCGGAGAAGCAUCAAUGUUUAUGUGGCGAUUUCAUGGAUGUUUACCCCCGAAAACCUCGAUGUUUUUCCAACUCUACAGAUCACCUAUCAUCCCAUCCGCAUAGGAACGAAAGUAAUCACUCCCCCAAAACCGAAGCCGAAGAUGUAUAGAACAGAACACAAGUUGAGGAUAAGAAGAAGCUGAUGCUAAAUGUUACGAAAAGUCAAGCAAGAAGAGGAAGCUCCAAAAACUGCAUAUGCAAUAAAAAAAUGCAAUAGAAACGGAAACAAAUGAAACUAUUUCAAAAUAUUUGUGAAACUCUCGAGAGAAAUUAUUAUAAAAUCGUAAUGCAUAUAUAUGUGGAGAAUAUAUACAUAUAUAUAUAUAAAUAUAUAUAUAUAUGCGUAUAGGUAUGCGCAUAAUGUAAACUACAAUUUUUUUCUUCGUAACGAGCGCAGCAGCGGCAGCAGGACAGGAUUAGCACACACUCAUAAACACACUCACUACCAGUCACAAGGAUCAGAAGCAACAGCAGCAGCAGAAGCAGAAGCAGCAUAUAUAUGAAUAUAUAGUGAAUAAUCAACAGUUACAAACUUAUUUGAUGUUAACCAAUUGCAAAAUGAUCUUCAUGUUAUCAAAAUCGAAACAAAAGAGAAUUGAGAAGAAAAGAAAACAAAAAAGCUAUAAAUUAGUAAAUUUCAAGCUCCAAAAUUGUGGAACCAACAAUAGAACCUAAAAUCUUCCUCUCCCCGGGGGUCAGGCUUCAAGUUAGCGCUUGCUUCAUGGCCCUGGUUUGCAUUACUCCCCAUUUCCGAUCAUAUAUCUCCGAGUGAAGAAACAAUUCUUCGCUUUCAAAUUGUUAUAAUUUUUUUUAAUUAGAGAUCGACCAUUUACCUUAAUUUAUUUUUAAAUUAGUCUUUAACGAAUAAAUCCUGAUAUCCUGAUCAGAAACGGAAGCGGAAACAGGGACAGGACGUUGUGAUGAUAGUCCUUUAGUUCAAAUCUCAGUCCUGGUCCCAGCUUGAGUUCAAAUUCUUCCAGUUUGUUGAGCUUUUAUAUAGAAACUAAUGGGUUCGCCUUAUCUGUUGUCCCCUUCUGUUCAAAUUAGAAACAAAACUGUGCCUAGCAAGUUCGUUCGUUCGUUCCUACGAUCGAAGAAGAGGAAGCUACGUUUUCGUGUGAUUUAUUGACCACCCACCAGCACCAUUUAGUUUGUGGACCCCGCCCCAGAGAAUAUUGUAAAUGUUAGAUGGACCCGCUUAACCCUGCUCUCUCCCGCUGAACCGCAGCACAAAUUGAACAACAAACAAACAGACAAACAGACAGUGUCUAUACGAUUGAGCAAAGUACCUUAUAAUAACAAGAUGCUUAAUGCUUUCUUCCUAGCACAACUUUAAGCGUUAAAAUAUAAAAGUUAUAAUCCGAUUUUGGAUCUUAAAGGGAGCUUCGAGACGGAAUGAGUGCAAAAACGUCGUCUAGAUUUACUCAUAUUGUUAUUAUAAGGUCUUUGGAUCGAGCAAGAAAAUGGAUAGUUAUCGCGAAGCGUUGGAGGGAGGAGAGUCGGAUGCGGAUGUCCUCUAAGUUGGCGGCAAAUCGUUGUACAUAAGAGAACAGUUUUGUCCAUGGUUUCCUAGCCCGCCUGCAGAAAAGCACACAAAACACUCACACACAUACAAUACGAAGGCGUUUCCAUUUUCAGCAUUCUCUAUAUAUUCUCAACAACAAUAAUUAACAAAGAAAAAAAAAAUCUGAUGAAUUAUAUUUAUAAUAAAUACGACUAAAUGGAAAACUCAUUAAAAUUAAAUUGAUGUAAAAAGUUUAAAGUUGUUCGAAUUAAAAGAAAACAGAAAAAAAAUGAAAAAUACCAUAAUGUGGAAUAAAAAAUAUAUUUAAAAAAAGCUGUAAAAAAUAUGAGAAACUAUGUAUGUAUAAUUAAAGAUGAAAUGUUGCAAGAAUUAGUGAAAAUAAAAACUUAAAAAAAUCAAUA